GCAGUGGUGGUUCAGUGGCAGAAGUCUCCCCUCCCAUGCAGGAGCCCCGGGUUCAAUUCCUGGCCAGUGCA
rnacentral:tRNA from 1 species